ensembl:misc_RNA Y_RNA Y RNA
GGCCGGUCCAAGUAUGAUGGUGUCUAUAACUGAUCACGACUCUGGUUACAAAUGUCUUUGUUCUUUCUCCAUUGUCACUGCUUCAAUUAACUAGUUGAAA